rnacentral:rRNA from 1 species
GACGAACGCUGGCGGCGUGCUUAACACAUGCAAGUCGAGCGGUAAGGCCCUUUCGGGGGUACACGAGCGGCGAACGGGUGAGUAACACGUGGGUGACCUGCCCUCAGCUCUGGGAUAAGCCUGGGAAACCGGGUCUAUACUGGAUAUGACUCCAUGACGCAUGUUGUGGGGUGGAAAGCCUUGUGCGGCUGAGGAUGGGCCCGCGGCCUAUCAGCUUGUUGGUGGGGUGANGGCCUACCAAGGCGACGACGGGUAGCCGGCCUGAGAGGGCGACCGGCCACACUGGGACUGAGACACGGCCAGACUCCUACGGGAGCAGCAGUGGGGAAUCUUGCGCAAUGGGCGAAAGCCUGACGCAGCGACGCCGCGUGAGGGAUGACGGCCU